AGAGUUUGAUCCUGGCUCAGGAUGAACGCUAGCGGCAGGCUUAACACAUGCAAGUCGAGGGGUAACAGGGUAGCAAUACUGCUGACGACCGGCGCACGGGUGAGUAUCGCGUAUGCAACCUACCUUUAACUGGGGGAUAGCUUNNNNNNNNNNNNNNNNNNNNNNNNNNNNNNNNNNNNNNNNNAUGACUGAAAAGAUAAAACUCCGGUGGUUACAGAUGGGCAUGCGUGACAUUAGCUAGUUGGUAAGGUAACGGCUUACCAAGGCUACGAUGUCUAGGGGUUCUGAGAGGAUGAUCCCCCACACUGGUACUGAGACACGGACCAGACUCCUACGGGAGGCAGCAGUGAGGAAUAUUGGUCAAUGGGCGCAAGCCUGAACCAGCCAUCCCGCGUGCAGGAUGACGGCCCUAUGGGUUGUAAACUGCUUUUAUACACCAAGAAAAAUCCCCACGUGUGGGGACCCGACGGUACCGUAAGAAUAAGGAUCGGCUAACUCCGUGCCAGCAGCCGCGGUAAUACGGAGGAUCCAAGCGUUAUCCGGAUUUACUGGGUUUAAAGGGUGCGUAGGCGGAUUGAUAAGUCAGUGGUGAAAGCCUGCAGCUUAACUGCAGAACUGCCAUUGAUACUGCCAGUCUGGAGUAUGGUUGAGGUAGCUGGAAUGUGUCAUGUAGCGGUGAAAUGCUUAGAGAUGACACAGAACACCGACGGCGAAGGCAGGUUACCAACCCAUUACUGACGCUGAGGCACGAAAGCGUGGGGAUCAAACAGGAUUAGAUACCCUGGUAGUCCACGCCGUAAACGAUGAGUACUAGGUGUUGGCGAUAUACAGCAAGCGGCUGAGCGAAAGCAUUAAGUACUCCGCCUGGGGAGUACGGUCGCAAGACUAAAACUCAAAGGAAUUGACGGGGGCCCGCACAAGCGGUGGAGCAUGUGGUUUAAUUCGACGCAACGCGAAGAACCUUACCUGGGCUUGACAUCUGCGGAAUCUUCGUGAAAGCGAUAAGCGCAAGGGAACCGUAUACGAGGUGCUGCAUGGUUGUCGUCAGCUCGUGCCGUGAGGUGUUAGGUUAAGUCCUGCAACGAGCGCAACCCUUACCUUUAGUUGCCAGCAUGUAAUGAUGGGGACUCUAAAGAGACUGCCGGUGUAAACCGCGAGGAAGGUGGGGAUGACGUCAAAUCAUCACGGCCCUUACGUCCUGGGCUACACACGUGCUACAAUGGGCUGAACAGAGGGCAGCUACCAGGUGACUGGAUGCGAAUCUUUAAAAUCGGUCUCAGUUCGGAUUGUAGGCUGCAACUCGCCUCCGUGAAGUCGGAUUCGCUAGUAAUCGCGCAUCAGCCAUGGCGCGGUGAAUACGUUCCCGGGCCUUGUACACACCGCCCGUCAAGCCAUGGAAGUUGGGGGUGCCUAAAGUUCGUGACCGCAAGGAGCGACCUAGGGUAAAACCAAUGACUGGGGCUAAGUCGUAACAAGGUA
rnacentral:rRNA from 1 species